AACCGAGAAGAACCUCGUAACUACUUUUCUCGAAACCGAGCUCAGACCUCUGGUAAUUCUUGAAAGAUAAGCCUAAGUUUUAUUUAGCAAAAAAGGUCUGGUUCAACACAGACUAGGGAUUUCUGCGGACUCCGAGUCCCGAUCCUCAUUUUUAAUAUUAAGAACACCCACUUAACUCUUGUUCUUAGUAUUUCCCUUAUCCAUUGAAGAAUGAAUUCUGAGUUCGUGUAAACUGCGUAUCUCGUUGAAAUCUUAAGUAUUUCUUAAUUUUUCGUACGAGGUAUUCAAAUUUCUCGAAUACUCCGGAUUCAAGAUUCAAAAGGACUUAUAUAAAAAUAGAGGGGAAAUAUUCAAGUCUUCAAAAAAAAAAAAAACGAUAAAUAGUUUUUGGGUUUAAAUAAUAAAAACAACAAAGGGGGGCACUAGCCAUCACAACCCCGGAACCAGAUCAUUGACCCUUGACGUCGGGAUCUUGCUGCAUCUCCUCGGGCAGAACGGCAGCUUCGAAGUCCUGGCCAGUCAUGAAACCCUUAUUAGUUCCGAACUCAUCAAUGGCGACAUCAUCUUCGGGAAGAGAUGUCUCUUGCACGGGCUCUGGGGGAGUCGCUACAAAGAGAUGAGCGAACUCAUUUGGUUGAGGUCUGAGAGCGCUUACCUCGCGAGCUUUCUUCUCAGCCUCUUCCUCGUCUUUCUUUACCGACUCUAGUUCGGCUUUUAAGUCCGGAAUCUCUCCCUUCAGAAUCUCCUCAAGAAGUUCUCGGUUCGCCCGAGUCUCGGCAAGACGCGUCCCGAUCAUCUCAUUAUCACUGAUGGCCUUGUAGUAGGUCUCAUUCUUCGAGGCGAGUCCGCUAUAGAGUUCACGGAGCCUCAACCUUUCAUCUUUUUUCGCUGCUGCGAGCUCCUCCUCUCGUUUCUCAGCAGCGAUCUUGCACCAUUCCUCACUUCGCUUAACUUCAGCUUCCAGCGAGGUAAUCUUUUCACAUGCCUCGAGAUACAGGUUCUUCCCGAUCUUCAGCUUCUCGGAAAGAUCAGUCUUGGCGAUGUCAAGAAGGUUGCAGCGACCUUCAGCCUCCAGCAUCCGCUCCCGAAUCUCGUUUGCCUUUGCCACCGCUUUGGCAUUUUCCUCCUCCAUCUCCUUGAGUUGACGGACUUCUUCUUCGAGUUCGGCGACCCGGGCCCUGAGGCCAUCCAGCUCGUUAACUGGAAAGAGCUGGGACUCGUGGCAGGAGAAGGUGGUGUUGUACUCGAGCAUUAACUGUCAAAACAAAGAUUCAUGAGGACGGAAAGAAAAGUUCUUAUUUUUAUAAAAGAGGAGAAGAGUUCAAAGAAUUACCUCUCCGAGUUUAUCAGCGAAGCGAAAGUAGUUCGCCCUGUUGACCUCCUUCAAGUCAUUAAAGGGAGGAAUCCUCAUCCCGACAGGAGUAAAGUUCCUCAUGAAAUCAGCUGGUGACUUCGGAGGAGCUGUUCAAAUAAAAAAAAUGUCAAAAUGAACUCGAAGCGAGAGAGGAAUACGAAGUGACUCUACUUACCAGUAGGGAUCGGAAUCUCCUGACGGACGGAUUCCCGGUUCUCAGAGUCCCGCGAAGGCAGGACAAGAAUCUGAGUUGGCAAAUCGGACUCCGGGGCCCGUUGUGGUUCUUCAUUUUCUUCUGGUUUUGACCCCAGACUGGUUCCAGCAUCCUCGGAAGGAUUUUUCUCGUCGUUCGGACGAGAACGACUCUUGCGUUGAAGGGGAGGAAUUUCAGAUUCCUCGUUCCUGCGUUUCCUUGAGGAGGUUGCACUAUGGCCUCCUUCAGAAAUUUCUUUCUCCCGAGAAGAUCGGGAGGAGCGAGAAUCCGAGAUCCGGAUUAGGUCUUUUCCCGAAGACACUUUCUUUUGAUCACGAUGAUCAGAAGUCUUCGAUUCGGAAACCAGAUCUACGGUACCCGAAUUCUUCCCUUUACCAGAUGAAGAUCUGGAUUUCCCUUCGUCCAAGGCCUUCACCAUCCUGGCCUUAUCUUCUCUCUCUCUCGCUUCUCUCGCUUUUUCCCUUUCCUUCUGGAGCCUCUUCUCUUCGCGAUAGGAAAGAGGAGACAUGUUAGUGGCGACAGUAGGGGAGGAGGGAGGAGUGGAGGAAAUGAGGUCGGAUCGCGAGACAAUUCGAGCACACGAACUCCGGAUGCGUUCGCAAGUGAACAAUUCCCACGACAGGUCGCUGCUACUGCAAAUCUUUACGAAUUGACCCGCAAAAGUAUGAGAAAGCGUUUUCUUCGGAAGUUUAGCUGCAAAAGCAAAAACAUUGACGGAUUAGAAAAAGAAAAAAAAACGAGUGAAAAGCAGCGAAAAACCUAAGGAGCUAUCUACCGGGACGACGAGUCCAUUCACGAACGAAAUAAGCCGUGUUUGGACCAUAAGAAAAUUCGUCUACAGCGAAGAAGAAGUAGGACUUUCUCCAUUGCUCGUCCUUUUCGGGAAAAUCCCCGAAGACUCUGAAAUUACUCCGAGGACUGAGGAAAAAUGUCCCCGGGGUUCGCCCCUUCUUUACUGUGUAAAGAUGGAGUACGUCGGAUAGCGUGAUACGGUAUCCAUUUUCCUCUGCGAGGGUCUGGAGGCACAGGACGGUCCUAACUACAUUUGGACAUAGUUGAGGAAGUGCGAUUCUGAACUCGUGCAUCAAUUCGACCAAAAGGCCGGGAAGCGGAAAAGAUAGCCCGCAUUCCGAAAAGAAGAUUUCAAAAGCGCAAGUGUGACCGGUAGGUGGAGACUCUGGAGAAUCUGUCGGACCCGGAGUAAUCAAGGAGACUUGACGAGGGAUCUGGCAGGCACCUUUCAGCAGAGCCAGUUUUUUAUUGUCAAGAUUCGAAGAAAAAUACUUCCCGAACUCGCCUUCCAUGAUGUGAGUCUCAUUCUGGAUCUUCCUGCUUCGCUUCGGAGCCAUAACUUAAUUAAGGAAGAUGUAGAGACGAAACAAGAUCUGGCGCCAGGGAUUUGGGAAGAUAUUUCAAGAACAACUCAAGAACGCGCUUGAGCAAACUUCGAAGAUCUUCGUGAAAACCCAGAAACCGGAAAGGUUAAGCGGUUGAUGUUCUUCGGAAAACGGUUGCGAUUCAACGGAAUAUCAAGAACACGGCGGAGGAGUUGAAGAACAGCGAACAAAUUCGGAGCAGAGGGCUGAAAAUCUAAGAAAUCUUUUAGAUCUCUGGCCUAAAUCUAGCACGGAACUAAUCUAGAGCGGUGAACUAACACGAAUCCGAAACUGAAUAGCAAGAACUAAGCGUAAUCGGAAGAGUGUUAAGAGGUAAAAGUAGAGAGAAGAGAGUUACCUUUAAAUACGGAAGGAAGCAGAAGCGGUUUGGAGAAGACGACGACGUGUGUGUUUGCAGAACCCGAAGAGUCUAAUGAUUAUAUAGAGGGUCAUUGGGCGGCAAAGCGAGAAACCCUAGGGUCUCGAAGCGUCUUUGUCUUCCCGAGGAAAAUCCCUCGAUCCGCGGGAAAAAAUAUACCUUAGGAUCUCGAAACGUCACUUCGGUCGAAGACCAAAUCCCGGGAAAAGCGGGAUUAACGAUGAAGCCUCCGAGCCUGAGAAAAAGUUCAGCAUCUAAAGUAUUCCGAAGUGUUCACUUCGGAACACUUGGGGGGCAAACUGUUGGUGUUGGAUCUCGCAAGUCGGAUCCGGCCCAUAGAAAAGUGGUGGACGAUGAAACGAAGUGGGCCGUCAGCCCGUUUCAAAAGAUAAAAAGAACGGCCCAGUAAAAGUCGGCUUAGCUCGAGUGAAACGUCGGGAUCUCGCGAAUUAAAUGAAAGGCGGGUCAUACGGGAUUUGCGAGAUUCGGAAGAUUUGAAACGGAAACAUUGAUGAAGGCGAGAUCUGCGGCUUGAUGAACGACUUCGGUUUUGAAUCGCAUGACUAUAAAUAGAGAACUAAAACCAUUGUAAAGGGGGACGAUUUUUUGAGCAAUAAAGGAAUACACAUACUUCACUCUUUUGUUUUCUCUUUGACGAUUGCUGUUCGAAUUAGCAAGGCUAGACGGCCCGAUUUACAUCUCAAAAUUCGUGUUGCGGAUUCCGACAUCCACAUAUAUCACAACAUCAUCAUACGGUCAAAUACAGUGACUACGAACUUUCUAUAGAGUUAAAAUGUUAAGUCUAUUGAUCAAUGAAAGAAAAAACUAUUUACGAAAAAUGAUCAUGAGGAUGAGGGUCUUGUUGAUGUUGUCUUCCAUAACGCCACAUAAAGCUGUUGUGAGAUGGUGAAUCGUAGCUCUGGGACUGCAGUUUUUUAAUUCGGUUUUUCGGUUGAUUUUGAUUUUGAAAAUGCUAUUGGAAUUAACCGAUUUUUUUUUAAAUCUGAUUUUUCAAUUAGUUUUGGAUAAUUUUGUUUUUUCAGUUAAAUUCGAGUAGUUCAAUUUGGUUCGAUUAUCGAUGAAAAGUAGUUUAAAUUUGGUAAAAAUGGUCUAAUUGUGGUAUGAUCUGGUUAUACAAAAUCAAAUAUUUCAGUUCACCGAGAACUGAAUCGAACCAGAAUACUUGCUUAAUUGAAGUAAAAUCAAAUUUUACCGAUCGGUUAAAGACUUAUAACUAAAUACAUAUUCGAGUGACGAAAAAAAAAAAAAAAAAAAUUCGAAUUGCACAAUACAAAAGUUUCGAUCUUCUAAAUUUAAAUUCAAUUUUGUUACAUAUUUAAGAGGUGAGCUGUUGUACAUAUAUAAUUGCAAACUUUUAUAAAUAUUGUAGUGGGUACUUUACCCAAAAAAAGGAAAAAAAAUAUGUAGUGGAUGUCUAAAAUCCAAGACGAAUUACGAGAUACAUAGUCAUAUAGCUAACAUGUACUGCCUCGUACUCGUAUAUCUGAUGUGUACCUCUUUGUCCUGUAUUAACUAAUCAACUUUAUGUUCGCAAUGGAUCAUGUAUGCCUAAUUUUAAAAUACGACGAUUAAUAAUGGUAUCUUGGCACAGAAAAAUUGUUAUAUCUAAUAAUAUAACCCGUGUUUGUAAUUAAUAAAAAAAUAACUACGACACUAGUCACUGGGGAAAUGGCCUUUUUCAACCUCAACUAUUUGCAGGCGGGUUUUUCCAACCCAAACUAUUACCCCUAGUCGAUUUCAACCCAAACCCAAAAUUAAUUCAAAAUCGAAACCUGAACUAAUGCAAAUGAGCCGAUUUCAACACGACGCGGAACGGUGUUAGUUCGGAAGUUAACGGUUACUCAACCUUGGGUAAUUCUCUCUCUACAACAUUCAUCAAACCUUGAAAAUAAAAUCAAAUAACUUUGAAACUAUUAACUUCCUAACUAACAUUGUUUCACGUCGUGUUGAAAUCGGCUCAUUUACAUUAGUUUAGGUUUUGAUUUUGUAUUAUUUUUGGGUUCGGGUUGAAAUCGACUGAGGGUCAUAGUUUGGAUUGGAAAAACCCGCCAACAAAUAGUUGAGGUUGAAAAAUGCCGUUUUCCCCACUAGUCACUAGGCUUUUGGGUUGUUAAGAAACUUGUUGGUUUAGUGUCGAUUUGAUUAUAUUUGUGUUCAUGAUUAUAUAUUUAUAUUUGACAGCAUACUAAAUCGGUUUUUGUCAGUAUUAUUGGGAAGUUACUUAGGAGAUCUCGGGGAUUACGAGAUCGACUCGAAAAGAAUAUUAACAUUUGUAUAAUAUUCUUUAUUCUUAAAUAGGUAGAUUUUCUAUUAUUAUAUAUGUAACGAACUUGCUAAUCAAGUUAUGAUAUUUGUAUAAAUAAAUAUAUUGGCUAAUGAAUAAAAUUGAGAGAAAUUAUUUUACUAGUAAAGUUUCCUCCAAAUUUAUCAUCAUUAAAAGCCAUUUGUGAUUCUCUAUAUCUUUUUUUUUCUAGAAAAAGAUGAUUGGAGAUGGAUAUAUAUAUAUAUAUAUAUAAUUUUGUGAACAUUGAAACAAAAAGAAAAUAAUAUUUUAGAGAGAGAAUUUUGAGAGAUCAACCGAAAGUGCAUUUGAGCAGUAGUUUGGGGUUGAUUUUCAUUUGUAAUCUUAACCUUGAUUUCUGCGUCAAUUCCCAAAUAAUUUCAUACAAAAGUCAUCACUAAAUCGGCAAAAAUAUAUAUGUUCCGGUUGAACACUUCUGCAUACAAAAAAUAACAUGAUAAUUCCACAUUUGUCUAAUUUUCUAUUAUACGUUUAUCUAAUAAGUAUAUAUAUAAUUGCAAACUUUUACACAUUUAUGUGUUGUUAUCAAAUUCUUUUUUUUUUUUUAAUAAUUUGUUGUCAAAUUCACAUGUUUAAUACUACUAUAGAUUUUUUUUUUUUUGUCAAAGUACUACUAUAGAAAUUUUAUAUCACUUUUAUUCCUCUUUUUUGUUAACUUUUUUCCCUUUCAAAAUUUCAUACCAUUUGGUAUACUUUUUCCCACCAAACUUAUUCACACUGAAUUUCCAAAAAUAUUAUGGAGAACUAUCAAAAUACAAAUAGUUACAUAAACAACAUAUGUAUAAUAAAAUCACGAGAAAAAGUGAAAUUAUAUUACACAAUGCUUUCUUUUUAUUAUCUUAUUUUCUCACCGUCUAUAUUAAUAUCUAGUACUUGAGAUGGAGCAAUUUAAAGAUAGAUGACUUUCCGAGAAGUGAUUAUCGAAAUCAUGUGAGUGAAAAUAAAAACACAGAAAAAAAUCAUGUAGUUGUUUUAUAAAAUCGGUAAACGAGUCUUUAAAAACCCUCUGGAUAUAGCAGACCGGCUGUCAGACACAAAUAAAUUUGCGGACUGAUAAUAUAUGUGAGGCUCAUUAAAAUAGCGGUCGGAACGUUACAAGAAUGCUAUAAAAAAAAAAAAAACACUUUUUGUAUAAAUCAUGUUUUAAAGAAUAUAUAUAUAUAUAUAUAUAUAUAUAUAUUGGUCUACACUCUACAAUUACAGGUGAGAUCGCUACAUUUUAUUUGUUUAUCUUUUGAAAAAUAAUCAUCAAAAUGUUUAAGGAAUUGUAUACUUUUUUGAUAAAAAAAAAUAACUACGCAUUCCCUUUUGGCUUUUGAAUAUAGUAAUUAAAUUUGUUGAAAUCGUGGAUUUUUCCUUAAUAAACAAUCCAAAACACGACCACCGUUGUCUCCUCGACUCGGUAACACCAAUCGCCGACUUGAAAAUAAUAAAAAACAAAUAAUAGAAAGGAAUGAUUAUUGAAGCUGUCAUAUAAAAGCCUAUCACAGUCAAUCCAAGAGCCCAUUUCGCCAACUGAUAAAUCCAACGGCUCAUAAAUUUCCGCUAACAUUUUUAAAAAGUCUAGAUAAAUAAAAAAAAGCUGUCUGACAGCCAGGUCACGUUAUUUUUUUUCCUUAUGGCCGAAAUGAUUCAUCUCUCUCUUAUUUUCAAAAUGAGAAAAAAAAAAAAUGAAAAAUUUCAGAUAAACCCGCCUGUAUAAAUACAUAGUUGAACACACUUAAUAUUCCUCCCCUCUUUGAAUUGUCUCGUCGUCUUCAGCUUCAUCGGCCGUUUUAUUUUCCGGUGAUAAGAGAGAGAGAGAGAUAGGGGAGAGAAAUUGAGCCAGAUCCUCAUCGUCGUGGUUCUUGUUUCUUCCUCGAUCUCUCGAUCUUCUGCUUUUGCUCCUCCGAUUAAGGUAAUUAAAACCUCCGAUCUACUUCUUCUUGUGUUGGAUCUCGGUUACGAUUCCAAGUUACUUCAAAAGAUCUUUCGGAUUUAUGAUUUGAUUGAAUUUUGAUCGGAAAUGUUUUGAUCUUGGCUCCGAUUAGCUCAACAAUUGAUGUUUGACUUGAUGUUCGUUGAAUUCCUUGUUGUAUUUGCCAUGGAUCCUGAUUCUUUCGCUUCUUCUGUCUAUAGAAAUCUGAACUUUGAAAUGUUUGUCGAAGUUUGACUUCAGAAUCUGUUGAUUUAUUGACGGAUGAAGAAACUAAGUGAUCAUCUGGAAUCUGAAUCUGUAACAUUUUGUCAUCCGAUGAGUAUGACUCUAUUGAUACAUUGAAUUGAAUCUAUUGUGAAUGAAAAGCCUGCUUUGAUUAAUCAAGUGUUUGCGUCUUUCUCGAUCAAGAUUCAGAUCUUUAUGUUUUGAUUGCAGCUCGUCGAUCAUGGCCGAGGCUGAUGACAUUCAACCUAUUGUCUGUGACAAUGGUACUGGAAUGGUUAAGGUUAGUCUCUUCUUCCUUACUUUUCGGUUUUAUGGAUUCUCUCUCUUUUGUUAAGAUUUGAGACAAAUUCUUUUGUACAGGCUGGAUUCGCUGGAGAUGAUGCUCCCAGAGCGGUUUUCCCCAGUGUUGUUGGUCGACCUAGACAUCACGGUGUCAUGGUUGGGAUGAAUCAGAAAGAUGCGUAUGUUGGCGAUGAAGCGCAAUCCAAAAGAGGUAUCCUCACAUUGAAAUACCCAAUUGAGCAUGGUGUUGUUAGCAACUGGGAUGACAUGGAAAAGAUUUGGCAUCACACUUUCUACAAUGAGCUCCGUAUUGCUCCUGAAGAGCACCCGGUUCUACUUACUGAGGCUCCUCUUAACCCAAAAGCCAACAGAGAAAAGAUGACUCAGAUCAUGUUCGAGACCUUUAAUUCUCCAGCUAUGUAUGUCGCCAUUCAAGCUGUUCUAUCACUUUACGCCAGUGGUCGUACAACUGGUUAGUACAUUAUUGAUAUUGACAAAACAAAUUUUUGUUUUUCUGUUUUUAAUGAUUAUGUCAUAUUGAUCACAGUGAAAUGAUUUUCUUUAGGUAUUGUGUUGGACUCUGGUGAUGGUGUGUCUCACACUGUGCCAAUUUACGAGGGUUUCUCACUUCCACAUGCUAUCCUCCGUCUUGACCUUGCUGGCCGUGACCUCACUGAUUACCUCAUGAAGAUCCUUACCGAGAGAGGUUACAUGUUUACCACAACAGCAGAACGGGAAAUCGUGAGAGACAUCAAGGAGAAGCUUUCCUUUGUUGCUGUGGACUACGAGCAAGAGAUGGAGACUUCAAAAACCAGCUCCUCCAUCGAGAAGAACUAUGAAUUACCCGACGGACAAGUGAUCACGAUCGGUGCUGAGAGAUUCAGGUGCCCAGAAGUCCUUUUCCAGCCAUCAUUUGUUGGAAUGGAAGCUGCAGGGAUCCACGAGACAACUUACAACUCGAUCAUGAAGUGUGAUGUUGAUAUCAGGAAGGACCUUUACGGUAACAUUGUGCUCAGUGGUGGUACAACUAUGUUCUCAGGUAUUGCAGACCGUAUGAGCAAAGAGAUCACAGCUCUUGCCCCAAGCAGCAUGAAGAUUAAGGUCGUGGCACCACCCGAGAGGAAGUACAGUGUCUGGAUUGGUGGUUCUAUCCUUGCUUCCCUCAGCACUUUCCAGCAGGUAAAAUUUGGACUGCCAUUUCUCAUUUUUUGCUUCUUGCGGUUGAUUAAAUGUAGAAAACUCUUCUAAUUGUUUGCAUUUUCUGUGUGUGUGUAAUCAGAUGUGGAUCUCUAAGGCUGAGUAUGAUGAAGCAGGUCCAGGCAUUGUCCACAGAAAAUGUUUCUAAGCUAAAGAGAAAGCGUUUCCAUGACGGGAUCACAGUUCUUUCUACAAUUCUACUUCUCCAAUUUGUUUGUUUCAAUUUUUUUUCCCCUUUGUCAUUCGUGCACCAUGUGAGAAACUUUCCGGUUAAAGCGUUUGGAGAGGUGUCGAAGGAGGAGCAGGUUUUAAAAACCCGCUCUUGCUCUUACCUGAGGCACAAUUCCACGUUUCAAACUCAGCUUCAUUCUCUAUUCUUGUCC
rnacentral:lncRNA from 1 species